GCAUGGCUCAAGUUUUGUGGUGGGUCUGAUUCUGUGAGUCCCUCCUUCUCUCCAUGCUAAAGGAAAUUGCCAUUCCGAACCAUUGGCUAGUUUGGUUUUUUAUAGCCCUGGCUACUGAAGUGAGUGGAACAUCU
rnacentral:snoRNA from 1 species